UGGCAAAGUCUGAGAUAAAAGGUCAGCUCAAAUCUGCCUUUCCUUACCAGGACUCAUCAGUUCAACUUCUAAAAUGAAGUUUCCUGCUCAGCUCCUGGGGCUGUUAAUGCUCUGGAUCCCUGCAUCCAGUGGGGAUGUUGUGAUGACCCAGACUCCACUCUCCCUGCCUAUCACACUUGGAGAGCCAGCCACCAUCUCCUGCAAGUCCAGAGAAAUAUGCUGCAUCUUCAACUUCCAGGCAGCUGAUUGUGCUGGUGAAAUCUUGUCAAGACCCACUACCAUGAAACUGAGUACAGACACCAGCUGAUGGUGACUCCCUCC